rnacentral:tRNA from 1 species
GGAGGGAUUCCCGAGUGGCCAAAGGGAGCAGACUGUAAAUCUGCCGGCCUUGCGCCUGCGGUGGUUCGAAUCCACCUCCCUCCACCG